AUACGGAGGAUGCGAGCGUUAUCCGGAUUUAUUGGGUUUAAAGGGAGCGUAGGUGGGAUAUUAAGUCAGCUGUGAAAGUUUGGGGCUCAACCUUAAAAUUGCAGUUGAUACUGGUUUCCUUGAGUACGGUACAGGUGGACGGAAUUCGUGGUGUAGCGGUGAAAUGCUUAGAUAUCACGAAGAACUCCGAUCGCGAAGGCAGCUCACCGGGCCGGAACUGACACUGAUGCUCGAAAGUGCGGGUAUCAAACAGGAUUAGAUACCCUGGUAGUCCGCACAGUAAACGAUGAAUACUCGCUGUUUGCGAUACACUGUAAGCGGCCAAGCGAAAGCGUUAAGUAUUCCACCUGGGGAGUACGCCGGCAACGGUGAAACUCAAAGGAAUUGACGGGG
rnacentral:rRNA from 1 species